UGGAAUGAUGGAAAAGGCUAGGUUAGGUUAGGUGGAUGGGUCGUGGAAUGGUAGGAAAGGUUAGAUUAAGUUAUUUUAGGUUAGUUGGAAGGCUUGUGGAAUGAUGGAAAAGACUAGGUUAGGUUAGGUGGAUGGGUCGUGGAAUGGUAGGAAAGGUUAGAUUAAGUUAGGUUAUGUUAAAUAGAAGGCUUGUGGAAUAAUAGGAAAGGUUAGGUGCAAGGCUCGGGAAAUGAUAGGGAAUGUUAGGUUAGAUUGAGUCAGGUUAGGUUAGUUGGAAGGCUCGUGGAAUGAUGGAAAAGGUUAGGUUAGGUUAGGUGGAUGGGUCGUGGAAUAAUAGGAAAGGUUAGGUUAGAUUAGGUUAGGUUUGGUUAGAUGGAAGACUCUUGGAAUGAUAGGAAAGGCUAGGUUGGUUAGGUUAGGUGCAAGGCUCUGGGAAUGAUAGGGAAUGUUAGGUUAGAUUAAGUUAGGUUUGGUUAGAUGUAAGCCUCGUGGAAUGAUAGAAAAGGUUAGCUUGGUUAGGUUAAGUGCAAGGCUUGUGGAAUUAUAUGGGCGGCUUAGUCAUAGCCUUAGUAACUAUAGAUAGGAAAGGUUAGGUUAGGUUAGUUAUUGAUAGGAAAGGUUAGGUUAGGUUAGUUAUUGAUAGGAAAGGUUAGGUUAGGUUAGUUAUUGAUAGGAAAGGUUAGGUUAGGUUAGUUAUUGAUAGGAAAGGUUAGGUUAGGUUAGUUAUUGAUAGGAAAGGUUAGGUUAGGUUAGUUAUUGAUAGGAAAGGUUAGGUUAGGUUAGUUAUUGAUAGGAAAGGUUAGGUUAGGUUAGUUAUUGAUAGGAAAGGUUAGGUUAGGUUAGUUAUUGAUAGGAAAGGUUAGGUUAGGUUAGUUAUUGAUAGGAAAGGUUAGGUUAGGUUAGUUAUUGAUAGGAAAGGUUAGGUUAGGUUAGAUUAGAUGCAUGGCUUGUGGAAUUCCAUGAACGGCUUAGUUAUAGAUAGGAAAGGUUAGCAUUGAUUAUAUUGGGUUCAGUUAGAUGCAAGGACUUAUAUGGACUUAUAUGGACGUUGCUGAGAUUAUUGACGCAUCUUACACUGUGUUCAUCAAUCGCUUAU